GAGCGCCGUUCUGAGAACUGCAGUGUGAUUUCGUACAAAAUUCUUCCUGUAGGAAGUAAGGGGGAGGGACAAGAGGCAUCUUUCAGCGUUUGGAGGACCUCAGAAUUUUGAGCUGGAAUUACGGGCAGCGCGCUGUGUCUCUGGGCAGAUAUCUUGGCUCCUCUACUCAGCAGCUCCCACUUUCAUCCUUAUUGUGAGUGACCAUCGUGAGGAUUAAAUAAAAGGACCCGGAGACCCUUGGAGACGGAUCCCAGCAGACCCCAGGGGUGAUGAACCCUGCAAUUAUUCCACAUCUGGAAAAGCUUCUUUCCCUCCGGCUGACCUCCUGGAGGUAAACCUGAAAGUCUAACCCAUCAAAAACCCUCCUUGGUAACCAGCACGGUGGGAAGAGGUCCUGAGGUAUUUCUCCAAAGAAGACAUCCAAAUGGCCAAAAGACACA